GCCUGGGUGGCUCAGUCGGUUGAGCAUCCAACUGAGAUCAGGUCAUGAUUUCACAGCUCGUGGGUUCGAGUCCCGCGUCAGGCU
rnacentral:tRNA from 1 species